rnacentral:rRNA from 1 species
UCGAGAAUCUUCGGCAAUGGGCGAAAGCCUGACCGAGCGAUGCCGCGUGCGGGAUGAAGGCCUUCGGGUUGUAAACCGCUGUCGUAGGGGAGAAAGGGUCGUUGAAGAAACGACUUUGAUCUAUCCUAGGAGGAAGUCCGGGCUAAGUUCGUGCCAGCAGCCGCGGUAACACGAACCGGACAAACGUUAUUCGGAAUUACUGGGCUUAAAGGGUGCGUAGGCGGUGCGGUAAGUGCGGUGUGAAAUCCCACGGCUCAACCGUGGAAUUGCGCUGCAUACUGCCGUGCUAGAGGGAGACAGGGGUAAGCGGAACUGAUGGUGGAGCGGUGAAAUGCGUUGAUAUCAUCAGGAACACCGGUGGCGAAAGCGGCUUACUGGGUCUCUUCUGACGCUGAGGCACGAAAGCUAGGGUAGCGAACGGGAUUAGAUACCCCCGUAGUGAGCGGGCUGGCAAGGCGCAU